rnacentral:rRNA from 1 species
UACGUAGGGACCAAGCGUUGUUCGGAUUUACUGGGCGUAAAGGGCGCGUAGGCGGCCUUCUAAGUCGAACGUGAAAUCCCUGGGCUCAACCCAGGAACUGCGUCCGAUACUGGAUGGCUUGAAUCCGGGAGAGGGAUGCAGAAUUCCAGGUGUAGCGGUGAAAUGCGUAGAUAUCUGGAGGAAUACCGGUGGCGAAGGCGGCAUCCUGGACCGGCAUUGACGCUGAUGAGCGAAAAGCUAGGGGGAGCAAACGGGG